ACAUCAGUAAUAGUAUCAUGAUUCUGGAAUUCCUCUGCAGCAUGGCUGGUUGCAGUAUAGAAUUCCACAAGGCACGUGCCCUUCUUGGAUGCCAUCCAAAAGAAGACAUUAUCAGAAGGACCUCGUAAUACAGGCUCCAGGAAUGGUGCUGUUGCACCCAGUCAAGCCUUGGUGACGUAGAUGUCCACAACCUUCCCUACCACUUGCCUAUCCCUUGUUUCUUCGCUGAGUGGUUGAUUGCCUAGCUGGUUCUUGGACCACUCUGGAUGUUGGCGUGGUAUGAUUAUUACUUGUUUGAUUUUUCUAACAAUCUGUUGUUUUCUAUCAGCACCGCCUCUGCUCCACCUCAUGUUCUUGACUAAUUAUGGUUGCUAAUUAGAAGUCUGCUAACGGGGUCUGCUUUCCACAAGCACUAAGACUAUGACGAGACACUAAGACGAUGUAACAAUCACAAAAGGAAAAGUCCACCUGGCCAGGCUCAGGUAAGUAAGGUUUACAGACUCUGCUUGGAGGCUCUCACUGGCUUUAGCCUGCAAACCGGCUUGACUCCAUCUACCAUUUAAAGCCUUUUAAUGACAGCUUGCAACUGCCAAGCCCAAACAGAGAAGAGAAGUGAAUGCUGCGCAGAAGUUGGCAGAAUAGCUGCCUAGGCACGGAUUCUUUUUCUACGGUAUUUGAUGAGAACAAACCAAGUUAAGGAUUUCCCCUUUGUUCCUCUGGCCUCUGGCAUUGUUUACCGCCUUUUCAAUUAUUCCAAACUGCACUUGGAGCUCUGACAGCCCUCUGUCCUCAACUCUCCCUGUCUCGUGUUUAUUUUUCAGCUGUUUCACAUCAUAUCUGAGAGAGGGAAUGCUUCGCCGGAGCUCAUCAUGACUUCAGAGGAAAUGAAGUUCCCUGCUUCGGUGACAAUCUUGAUUGUCCUCAGCUUUUCAGUUUCUACACAGAAGUGGCAGGCUUCACUGAAGGGUCUGCUUUCCUUCACCGCCAAAACAUGAUGGAAGGAAACCCACCUCCGCUGGCACUUGAC
rnacentral:lncRNA from 1 species